rnacentral:lncRNA from 1 species
CGUUUCAUGCAAAAAGUACAGUUUUGCUGACAUGACGCUCUAAUAAAUGUGCAUGACAUCGUGGUGAAACCUCCACUGAGACUGGCCUAAGUGCACUUCACUACGGAUGUGAAAGGUCACGUGAGGCUUGUUCAGCACAAAAUUUUAGUAUUUUGGGAACGGUGGUACUUUCGUUUGUAUUUAAUACUUCCUUCCUAUCUUAAAAAACGUCGUUCUGGCUCAAUAGGUGGUUUGCGUAAAAGAUGUCGUUCUAUCACCGGAGGCCGUUCCUUGGACUCGUUUGCCCCUGUCGCUUUAAUCUCCGUGUGCAUUUACGACUCAGAGCGGCGCGUAUAGACGGAUAACUCGAUUCUCGCCAGCGCGUGUGUCGGUCCUCCGCGUCUUAAAGCUGCGCUCCACGCCGCUCCACGGACGGGAGCAGUAUGCAAGCGCAUAAAUACUCCUUUGGUAGCCCAAACGUCUACACCGCCAGCCAAAAAAAAGAAAAAAAAGCGCGAGAACCUCCUACAGCCGAAAAAAGACACUAGCGACGUAAAUAUAUGCGCGAAGUAUACGCGCUCAAGCUCCACAACGAAAUAGUGCCUUGCAAAAACUCACCAUGCAAUAUUCAACCAAAAAAAUUUGGGGUCCAAGGGAGUCGAACGGUGCUCGCCAGCCGAGGUGGGAGCCAAUUGGUCUGUGAAACUUUUUUGAAAAGAAUGCACGUGAAGCUUUAUUUAUUAGGAGCAAAUAGGGAAAACUUCACUCUAAUUAAUCACUUUUUGGUAUGCUAAAUCAUAUCCUAAACGACCUUCUUUUUUAUAUGGAGGGAGUAAAUAUUAUUUAAUUAUAGAUUAAUUAGACUUAAAAGAUCUGUCUCGUAAAUUUUGAUCAAACUGUGCAAUUAAUUUUUAUUUUCG